rnacentral:sRNA from 1 species
CACCGCCUGGGGAGUACGACCGCAAGGUUAAAACUCAAAUGAAUUGACGGGGACCCGCACAAGUAGUGGAGCAUGUGGUUUAAUUCGAAGAUACGCGCAGAACCUUACCAACACUUGACAUGUUCGUCGCGACUUUAAGAGAUUAAAGUUUUCGGUUCGGCCGGACGAAACACAGGUGCUGCAUGGCUGUCGUCAGCUCGUGUCGUGAGAUGUUGGGUUAAGUCCCGCAACGAGCGCAACCCUCACUUUUAGUUGCCAUCAUUUAGUUGGGCACUCUGAAAGAACUGCCAGUGAUAAGCUGGAGGAAGGUGGGGAUGACGUCAAGUCCUCAUGGCCCUUACGUGUUGGGCUACACACGUGCUACAAUGGUAUCUACAACAGGAAGCAAAACUGCGAGGUUAAGCAAAUCCUUAAAAGAUACCUCAGUUCGGAUUGCACUCUGCAACUCGAGUGCAUGAAGCUGGAAUUACUAGUAAUCGUGGAUCAGCGUGCCACGGUGAAUGCGUUCCCGGGUCUUGUACACACCGCCCGUCACACCAUGGGAGUUGGUUCUACCUUAAGGCAAGGUUUCAAACCCUUGACCACGGUAUAGUCAGCGACUGGGGUGAAGUCGUAACAAGGUAGCCGUAGGGGAACCUGCAGCUGGAUUACCUCCUUUCUAAGAUGAAUAAAAGUAAAAUUUUAUUCUAAAUAAUAUACAGGUAAUGUUGACCGUCCUCAUUUCUCUUCUUAAAUAGUGUUUCUCAUGCAUGGGGGCCGGUAGCUCAGUUGGUUAGAGCACACCCUUGAUAAGGGGGGGGUAGAAAGUUUGAGUCUUUCUCGGCCCACCAUUUUCAUGGGGGAUUAGCUCAGCUGGGAGAGCGCCUGAUUUGCAUUCAGGAGGUCAGCGGUUCGAUCCCGCUAUCCUCCACCAAAACACUUAGUUAUAAAAAAUCGUAAAAAAAAUAAUUAAUAUCAAUAUCUAUAUCCGAACAUUAGAAAUGUUAUUAGCUAAUGUUCAAAAUAAAAAUUUGAUUCAACACAGAAUUUUUUUCUG